rnacentral:lncRNA from 1 species
AACUUCCAGAGGUCCACAAUAUACCUCUAGGACAACAUCCUAAAAUUUCAUUACCAUCCAACGGUCGGAUCUCCGUCAAUUUCCAAAACUAAGUGACGGUUAACAUUUUAUUUUAUGAACUUACAACUCCAAUUCCGGAAGAUCCGUAACUCGGAUUCUCAAUCCGUAAGUUCCAAUAAUCCUCAAAUAUUACGUAUUACAACGUAUCAAAGUUUGGUGACGAUCCAACGGUCGGAUCGUCAAUUCACAUUUUCACCUAAAUGCAAAAACUAUAAAACGUUAUUUAAAGCACCUAACCAAUAAUCGUAAUAACUUUCUCAUACGG